rnacentral:rRNA from 1 species
AGCAGUAGCCGCGGGAAUACGGAGGGUGCAAGCGUUAUCCGGAUUUAUUGGGUUUAAAGGGUCCGUAGGCGGACUUAUAAGUCAGUGGUGAAAGCCUGUCGCUUAACGAUAGAACUGCCAUUGAUACUGUAAGUCUUGAGUAUAUUUGAGGUAGCUGGAAUAAGUAGUGUAGCGGUGAAAUGCAUAGAUAUUACUUAGAACACCAAUUGCGAAGGCAGGUUACCAAGAUAUAACUGACGCUGAGGGACGAAAGCGUGGGUAGCGAACAGGAUUAGAUACCCCUGUAGUCCCUGUCUCUUAUAC